UACAGAGGGUGCGAGCGUUGUUCGGAAUUAUUGGGCGUAAAGGGCGCGUAGGCGGUGCGGUAAGUCACCUGUGAAAUCUCCUGGCUCAACUGGGAGCUUGCAGGCGAAACUGCCGUGCUGGAGUGUGGGAGAGGUGCGUGGAAUUCCUGGUGUAGCGGUGAAAUGCGUAGAUAUCAGGAGGAACACCUGUGGCGAAGGCGGCCCGCUGGGCAGUGGCUGACGCUGAGGCGCGACAGCGUGGGGAGCAAACAGG
rnacentral:rRNA from 1 species